UCUGUUGAAAAUGCCACAGAUAAUCUCUUCCUCCUUCCUCCUUCCUCCUCACCGGCUCCCUCGAUGAGACCGUCAAGCUCUGGAAAUCUGACGAGCUUGACUUGGACCGCGCCAACACCGGCCACUGCCUUGGCGUCGUCUCUGUUGUUGCUCAUCCUUCCGGUUACGUUGCUGCCUCCGUUUCUCUCGAUAGCUUUGUUCGCGUAUUUGAGGUUGGUUCCAAUUCCACUAUCGCAACUCUCGAGGCGCCGCCGUUGAGGUCUGGCAAAUGCGGUUUAAUCCCGAGCAGUAACUUCUGCGUCAGGGUACCAUGUCAUGAGACAGAUACAAACACAUGGAAACUGGCUGCAACUCUAUCAAUUCCUCGUCCAGAAGGACCUAAACCCACUGAUAAAACUGCUUGCAAAAUUCUGUACUUUCAGUAGCAUGGAGCGUUAAUGGAAGAAGACUUGCUUGCGGUUAUGGAACCAUUUCAGUCUUCGACGUAGCUCGCUCAAAGUUUCUACACUACUUGGAAGGCCACUUCAUGCCAGUUCAAGCGACAGAACUGUUAUGCUUUGGGAUCUCCAAAUGAGGGCAGCUGUUCAAACAAUGAUCAAGCAUCGCGAUCAGGUCUGCUGGGGUGUUGUUGCAUUCAACAAGAGUAUCCGAUGGGGCUGGUGUGGAGGCUGGGCGACAGGCUAGUGUAUCCGAUGACAAGAGUAUCUCCCUGUACGAUUACAUUUGAAGCAGACAGAUGCAGGGAGGCAAGGACAAUGAGUAGUUUUCUAGAAAGCAAUCGGUGCCACCGCUUCAUCCAUAGCUGUUGCCCACACUAAUAUUCGUUCUACUUCUAUGUCAAGUUGCUUGUCUUUUUAGUCAUGAAUCAGCGACAUUAUUCUGUUGCCAACUUGUUAUCAGCGUUCAUUUGCUACCUAGAUUUGGAAUCAAGGGCAAUGGACCCCAAAUUUUAUUACAGGAGAAAGAAGCGCACCAAAACUUUGAAGCCAGACUGAAUAAUGAAAAGGGCUAUAGACAUGUUAAUA